rnacentral:lncRNA from 1 species
AAGACUUUUCAUGCUGUGCAAGUCUAGAACCAUUAAUUCAGACCUAGUCAGAAAUAACACAAAAGAAAGAAGAACAUAUUUCAUACAAAAUAGACCCUACGCAUAUAACAAAAUAAGAGAAUUAGUGUGUGCCUUUUCUUCCUGAUAUAGUACCACGUAGGUACUUACAACGUACGUGAAAGUAUAAAAGUACAAGAUAGAGGUUUAGCUAGCUAUAAAACCAGCUUUAAUCCACAAUGUUCUACAUAAUAGAAUGCAUGUACCAAGUUAGGAAUAUGACGGUUGUUGAACAGUUAGUUGUUUCUCAUUCGUUUGAUGUGUU